GACGAACGCUGGCGGCGUGCUUAACACAUGCAAGUCGAACGGUGAACCUCUUCGGAGGGGAUCAGUGGCGAACGGGUGAGUAACACGUGGGCAACCUGCCCCCGGCUCUGGGAUAACUCCAAGAAAUUGGGGCUAAUACCGGAUGUUCACCGCUUCCCGCAUGGGUGGUGGUGGAAAGGUCUUCCGGCGGGGGAUGGGCCCGCGGCUUAUCAUCUUGUUAGUGGGGUAGGGGCAUACCAAUGCGAGGACGGAUAGCCGGCACGAGAAGGGGACCGGGCACCAUGCGCCUGAGGCAGGGCGCAGAAUCCAAUGGGAGGCAGCAGUGGGGAACCUUGCGCAAUGGGCCGAAGCCAGACGCAGCGACGCCGGGUGGGGGAUGCCGGCCUACGGGUUGUAAACCUCUUUCAACAGGGACGAAGAGGACGUGACGGUACCUGCAGAAGAAGCACCGGCUAACUACGUG
rnacentral:rRNA from 1 species